CAAGUCGAGCGAACUUGCGGGAGCUUGCUCCCAAAAGUUAGCGGCGGACGGGUGAGUAACACGUGGGCAACCUGCCUGUAAGACUGGGAUAACUUCGGGAAACCGGAGCUAAUACCGGAUAACCCUUUUCCUCACAUGCGGAAAAGUUGAAAGAUGGCUUCGGCUAUCACUUACAGAUGGGCCCGCGGCGCAUUAGCUAGUUGGUGAGGUAACGGCUCACCAAGGCGACGAUGCGUAGCCGACCUGAGAGGGUGAUCGGCCACACUGGGACUGAGACACGGCCCAGACUCCUACGGGAGGCAGCAGUAGGGAAUCUUCCGCAAUGGACGAAAGUCUGACGGAGCAACGCCGCGUGAGUGAUGAAGGUUUUCGGAUCGUAAAACUCUGUUGUUAGGGAAGAACAAGUACCGUUCGAAUAGGGCGGUACCUUGACGGUACCUAACCAGAAAGCCACGGCUAACUACGUGCCAGCAGCCGCGGUAAUACGUAGGUGGCAAGCGUUGUCCGGAAUUAUUGGGCGUAAAGCGCGCGCAGGCGGUCUUUUAAGUCUGAUGUGAAAGCCCCCGGCUCAACCGGGGAGGGUCAUUGGAAACUGGGAGACUUGAGUGCAGAAGAGGAGAGUGGAAUUCCACGUGUAGCGGUGAAAUGCGUAGAGAUGUGGAGGAACACCAGUGGCGAAGGCGACUCUCUGGUCUGUAACUGACGCUGAGGCGCGAAAGCGUGGGGAGCGAACAGGAUUAGAUACCCUGGUAGUCCACGCCG
rnacentral:rRNA from 1 species